AGAGUUUGAUCCUGGCUCAGGAUGAACGCUAGCUACAGGCUUAACACAUGCAAGUCGAGGGGCAGCAUGUUGGUUGCUUGCAACCAACGAUGGCGACCGGCGCACGGGUGAGUAACGCGUACCCAACCUACCCUUGUCCAUCGGAUAACCCGUCGAAAGGCGGCCUAACACGAUAUGCGGUUCACAGCAGGCAUCUAACGUGAACGAAAUGUAAAGGAGAAGGAUGGGGAUGCGUCUGAUUAGCUUGGUUGGCGGGGUAACGGCCACCAAGGCUACGAUCAGUAGGGGUUCUGAGAGGAAGGUCCCCCANAUUGGAACUGAGACACGGUCCAAACUCCUACGGGAGCA
rnacentral:rRNA from 1 species